UUGACAUUAAAUUGACAAACAUGACAGACGUCGGAACCGAAAUCUCUUAGCUUUAUGUUUGUCAACAAUAUUACAUUUUGGUGUGGGAAGCGUGUUAUUAGUUUAUUAAUUUCUUUAUAUGUACAAUCAGGACUUAUGGUACAUGCAGUUUUAAAGGCGUAUCUAUAAUUUAACACUGCAGUUAUUUAUAACCUGCACCAGAGUAACCAUAAUAAGAAGAAAUAUCUAUCACCAUAAUAACAUAAGUUUAAUCAUUGCGUCUCAAUGGAUCUUGAUGAGAAUGAAGAAAAAAUAAAUGCCCAAUUUCGGCCACGGCGACCAAUCUCGACGUAGAUCACCCAGGUACGUAGAAGAUAUAGUGCACAACUGGAAGCGCAAUACACAGGUACACUUUGACGUUUCAAUAUCAUAGUCCGGUAAGACGUCAAUCCAACAUGACCGAAGAGAUCAGGCGCAGGACAAACAACUUUACGUGCUUUCCGAAGUAUGGGAGUACCACACAGCCAACUUCUUGACUCAGAGCUGCGAACGAGUAAUUUUCAAGAUGGAAAAAUCCAGCCACGAUAUUUUUGUCCAAACCCGGGAUUCGAACUUGGAACCUCAGCGCAAUAGUUUUAUUCUAAGUUCGUACCGAGGAAGUCAUAUAAGUAUAAUAUGUAUUAUAGUUUAUAUUUUAUGUAUUUAUAUCUACCUACAAUAUUGCCUGCAAUUAUUCAGUUGUAAUUAAGUUUACAUAUAAGAGUAACUUAAACUACCUACUUCUCGUACAAUUAUGAAAAUGCUUUCACUUCUAGAAUACCACAUUAUAUCUGAUUGUAAUGUCAUUUUGUAAAGAUAAAAGUAUCCUUUUUAUCUCGUAAACAUAUUUAAACACGAGCAAUCCGGGAAACAAAGCUAUCAAUCACACCUAAUAUUGCCAUUUUAAAUAUGGAAGGUUCAACAACUUUACUAUUGCCCAGCUGGGUGUAGCUAUUCCUCGUUUAUAUUUGUCAUUUCCGUGCUUCAAACAAUUCCAAUUAGUUUUAUUAAAAUUUGUAGGUAUUGCGGCUUAAAAUGCAAUAAAACUGAAUUGUUAGUAUUACGUUUGAAAUUAAAAUCAAAGCGAGUCGAUUUUCAUUUUUACUGAGCGCAUGUAUUCAUAAACCGAAUCAUGUGUAUUUUUAAAUAUGUUUUAAAGACGAUAAUUUUCCUGACGAUUUUUGUUUCGUCCAAUAAUGCGCUGGGGGAGACGAUUGGAGAGAAAAAGCUAAACCUCAGAAUAGGGUUUGAUUUGACGCAAGGAAGCAAUGGCGCUCCAUCUCUUCGCAUCCGUGAUUUCGAAGAAUCUUCAGAAUUGACCCCAGAGCAGGAGAUGCAGAACUUGAGGUAAAACCGAAGCCUCCGGUAAUAAGAGCAGAUUCCUUCAGUGACAGCGAUGAAAAAGCUCCCGAUGACGACGCAAGCAAGCAAGCAGAUAAUGAUAUCAGAAAAUCUGACGACGAUGAAGAGUAUGACAACUCUGGUGACGGUAACAGAAUAAGAAGUACAAAAGGACUCAACGUUGCUGAAUACGAACCAGAAGAAAAUCCUAGCUUACACCCUAAGUACGAAGGCCCAGAAAGCUCAGAUUCAGAUGAAAAUCGAAGACGCUUAAAAAGGGAAGCUGGCCUUUAUGAUUUCUUAAAAGAAAAAGUAAAAAAAUUGUGAGACACUAUAAAAAAAAGUUUAGCAAGUUUCAAUAGCUGCCCUCGUCGCUUAAAAAAUUAAAUGAUUGUAAAACAAUUA